rnacentral:misc_RNA from 1 species
AAGAGAUCAUGCCCUCACGGGUAGACCUCCCACCCUUUGUUUACAAUACCUUUGUUGCUUUGGCGGGCCCGUUUGGCCCCGCGCUGAACAACCGGCCCCGGCUGGUCAGUGCCCGCCAGAGAACCGAAAACUCUGAAUUAAAUGUCGUCUGAGUACUAUGUAAUAGUUA